CCUACGGGAGGCAGCAGUGGGGAAUAUUGGACAAUGGGGGCAACCCUGAUCCAGCCAUGCCGCGUGUGUGAAGAAGGCCCUCGGGUUGUAAAGCACUUUCAGUGAGGAAGAACGCCUGGUGGUUAAUACCCAUCAGGAAAGACAUCACUCACAGAAGAAGCACCGGCUAACUCCGUGCCAGCAGCCGCGGUAAUACGGAGGGUGCGAGCGUUAAUCGGAAUUACUGGGCGUAAAGCGCGCGUAGGUGGCUUGAUAAGCCGGUUGUGAAAGCCCCGGGCUCAACCUGGGAACGGCAUCCGGAACUGUCAAGCUAGAGUGCAGGAGAGGAAGGUAGAAAUCCCGGUGUAGCGGUGAAAUGCGUAGAGAUCGGGAGGAAUACCAGUGGCGAAGGCGGCCUUCUGGACUGACACUGACACUGAGGUGCGAAAGCGUGGGUAGCAAACAGGAUUAGAUACCCUUGUAGUC
rnacentral:rRNA from 1 species